GCAUACAACAGUGAGGUAAGCCCUAAAAUUGGAACAAUACAGAGAAUAGCAUAGCCCUUGCAUAAGGAUGACACCCAAAUUCAUGAAGUGUUCCAUAUUUGC